rnacentral:lncRNA from 1 species
CAAGCAGUGUUUCCAGAUGCAGAAGAAUGAACUCACCUGACAUUGUCAUUUUAAAAUCUUUUUCUGAGGUUUGCUGCUGAUCUUUUAACAGGGCGUGAUUCAAACCGUGCUGCUCUGCUGUGGGUGGCAUGUGUCCCUGGUCCCCCACUGUGUGCACAGCCUGAUGGGGACACUGGCUGGGACAGGCUGCCUUGCAAGGACAUCAGGAAUCUCCACCCUUGAGCGGGGAAAUGUCCCUGCUCCAGACCUCUCCUACUACUCACUUCUAUCCUUUUUUUUUUUUUCUUUUUUUUUUUUUUUUUUUUUUUUUUCUUUUCAUUCCAGUGGAUUGCGGAGAUCAUCCGGGUGAUAAAACCUCUCUUUUUUCUUUUUCUCCUACUAAAUGAGGCUUUCCCCUUAAACCACAUCAAUUCCCAGGCACCCUGCAGAGGACAGGGGAUGGGGACCCAGCUGAAGCAGCCCUGCAUGUGAGACCACAGCUUUAAUGCCCUUCUCUCUUUUCUUCCUAUAGCAGAACUGAGGGAUUCUCAGACAUCCUUGUAAAGAUGUCUGAGAAUCUUGCACAUGCCUGCAAGAUCUGAAUUUGCAGUCAGUGGAGCUGGAUGCAGCCACGGUGGCAACAAGGAGGAGUUGCAUGGCCAUGUGGACACACCUGCAGUGCCAGUCCUGAGGUGGGAUCGCAGCCCAGAGGAGCAAAGUUGCAUCAAUAAAAACCUGGCUCAGGGGGUGAAGACCAGUUUGGAGAUGACCUGACAUCUUCACAUCUUACACAUGAUCACCACCACUCUUGCAGCAGGGAUGAAAUGCCUCCCAAGGAGUCCCCAGGGCAUGGCUGCUGUCCCCAGGAAAAGGUGAGAAAUUGGGCACUGACAUGGAGACUUGCCCCAGAGCACAAAAUUAAUGCAUGAACAAAUCUGGAAGAGGUUUUCACUUGGGGAGCAGAAACCCCUCAUUUGCAACAUAAUCCAGUGCCACCUAGCUGGGAAAAGAGUCUGUGAAGAAAAAAAUGGCCCAAAAUUUCUGCUCACCUCCAGACUUUGGUGGUGGAUUAUUUUUUCUGUCACUGAGAGAUGAUUGACUGUGACCUUUUUGAGAGCAAGGAAUUGUCAGGAGCUCCAGAUUCCAAGGUUGGAGUGUGCACUGCAACAGGCACCCUGUGGCAAAGAUUAACAAUAGCUUUUUAGCAUCACCUGCAGCUUUUUCUUCUCUCAGGUUUGUGUCCUGGUCUGUGAGACAGUCUCUGGAUUCAUCAUGAUGAUGUUGAGUGGCAAACACAUGACUGUAUUAAAUCUGUGGGAUUUGUAAUGGCAUUUUUUCCUCCAGCAGCACAUCCCUGAAUUCAAACCAGGCAAGGCUUUCUCUGCAUAAUAACUGCAUGUGACUGGCAGCCUCUGCACAGAGUCUGCUCUUGGUGGGAUAAUGGAGCAUGUGCCUGAUACAAGAAGUACUGCCUUUGGCCAGUACGUUGGUGUAGAGCUUUAGGAAAGAUUUUACACCAAAAAUCCCCAUUUUGGAGUAAGCUGGCUGCAUGUUUUCACUUUCCCUGGUAAUUACCAGCUCCCUGUGUCAUCAUGUCUGUUUCAGUGGCUUUUGAAACCACCACGUUGCCUUCUUCAGCU